rnacentral:rRNA from 1 species
UGGGGAAUAUUGGACAAUGGGGGGAACCCUGAUCCAGCCAUGCCGCGUGUGUGAAGAAGGCCUUAUGGUUGUAAAGCACUUUAAGCGAGGAGGAGGGUACUGGUAUUAAUACUACCAGGUACUGGACGUUACUCGCAGAAUAAGCACCGGCUAACUCUGUGCCAGCAGCCGCGGUAAUACAGAGGGUGCAAGCGUUAAUCGGAAUUACUGGGCGUAAAGCGCGCGUAGGUGGUUCGUUAAGUUGUAUGUGAAAGCCCCGGGCUCAACCUGGGAACUGCAUCCAAAACUGGCGAGCUAGAGUAGGGCAGAGGGUGGUGGAAUUUCCUGUGUAGCGGUGAAAUGCGUAGAUAUAGGAAGGAACACCAGUGGCGAAGGCGACCACCUGGGCUCAUACUGACACUGAGGUGCGAAAGCGUGGGGAGCAAACAGG